UACGUAGGGUGCGAGCGUUGUCCGGAAUUAUUGGGCGUAAAGAGCUCGUAGGCGGUUUGUCACGUCUGCUGUGAAAUCCCAAGGCUCAACCUCAGACCUGCAGUGGGUACGGGCAGACUGGAGUGCGGUAGGGGAGAAUGGAAUUCCUGGUGUAGCGGUGGAAUGCGCAGAUAUCAGGAGGAACACCGAUGGCGAAGGCAGUUCUCUGGGCCGUAACUGACGCUGAGGAGCGAAAGCGUGGGGAGCGAACAGG
rnacentral:rRNA from 1 species